UACGUAGGGUGCGAGCGUUGUCCGGAAUUAUUGGGCGUAAAGGGCUCGUAGGCGGUUUGUCGCGUCGGGAGUGAAAUCCACUGGCUUAACUGGUGGCUUGCUUUCGAUACGGGGCAGACUGGAGGUAUGCAGGGGAGAACGGAAUUCCUGGUGUAGCGGUGAAAUGCGCAGAUAUCAGGAGGAACACCGGUGGCGAAGGCGGUUCUCUGGGCA
rnacentral:rRNA from 1 species